rnacentral:rRNA from 1 species
AUUCCAGCUCCAAUAGCGUAUAUUUAAGUUGUUGCAGUUAAAAAGCUCGUAGUUGGAUUUCGGUUAAGAGCGACCGGUCCGCCGUUUGGUGUGCACUGGUUGGUUUUAACUUCCUGUAGAGGACGUGCUCUGGGCUUAACGGUCUGGACUCGGAGUCUACGUGGUUACUUUGAAAAAAUUAGAGUGUUCAAAGCGGGCUUACGCUUGAAUAUUUCAGCAUGGAAUAACACUAUAGGACUCCUGUCCUAUUUCGUUGGUCUCGGGACGGGAGUAAUGAUUAAUAGGGACAGUCGGGGGCAUUUGUAUUCAAACGACAGAGGUGAGAUUCUUGGACCGUUUGAAGACAAACUACUGCGAAAGCAUUUGCCAAGAAUGUUUUCAUCG